CUGAAAAUGUCCGGAUGGUAGAG
rnacentral:piRNA from 1 species